rnacentral:rRNA from 1 species
CCGGGCGCACGGGUGAGUAACACGUAUGGAACCUGCCCUAUGCAGGGGGAUAAGCGGAAGAAAUUCCGUCUAAUACCGCAUAACACCAUUUGGAGGCAUCUCCAGGGGGUCAAAGGAGGCGACUCCGGCAUAGGAUGGCCAUGCGUCGCAUUAGCUAGUCGGCGGGGUAACGGCCCACCGAGGCGACGAUGCGUAGGGGUUCUGAGAGGAAGGUCCCCCACACUGGUACUGAGACACGGACCAGACUCCUACGGGAGGCAGCAG